GAUGAACGCUAGCGGCAGGCCUAACACAUGCAAGUCGAGGGGUAACUAGAGUGAUAGCAAUAUUACCUUGGCUAGACCGGCGCACGGGUGCGUAACACGUAUGCAACCUACCUUAUACUGGGGAAUAACUUCGAGAAAUCGGCGCUAAUACCCCAUAACAUUGCGAAGAGGCAUCUCUUUGCAAUUAAAGCUCCGGCGGUAUAAGAUGGGCAUGCGUCCAAUUAGCUAGUUGGUGAGGUAACGGCUCACCAAGGCUACGAUUGGUAGGGGUUCUGAGAGGAUGAUCCCCCACACUGGUACUGGGACACGGACCAGACUCCUACGGGAGGCAGCAGUGAGGAAUAUUGCGCAAUGGACGAAAGUCUGACGCAGCCAUGCCGCGUGCAGGAUGACGGCCCUAUGGGUUGUAAACUGCUUUUGUACGGGAAUAAACCCUUCUACGUGUAGGAGGCUGAAGGUACCGUAAGAAUAAGCACCGGCUAACUCCGUGCCAGCCGCCGCAGUAA
rnacentral:rRNA from 1 species